CCUACGGGUGGCAGCAGUGGGGAAUAUUGCACAAUGGGGGAAACCCUGAUGCAGCGACGCCGCGUGAAGGAUGAAGUAUUUCGGUAUGUAAACUUCUAUCAGCAGGGAAGAAAAUGACGGUACCUGACUAAGAAGCACCGGCUAACUACGUGCCAGCAGCCGCGGGAAUACGUAGGGGGCGAGCGUUAACCUGAUUGACUGGGUGGAAAGGGAGCGUAGACGGUAUGGCAAGUCUGAUGUGAAAACCCGGGGCUCAACCCCGGGACUGCAUUGGAAACUGCCGAACUAGAGUGUCGGAGAGGAAAGUGGAAUUCCUAGGGUAGGGGUGAAAUGCGUAGAUAUUAGGAGGAACACCAGUGGCGAAGGCGGCUUGCUGGACGAUGACUGACGUUGAGGCUCGAAAGCGUGGGGAGCAAACAGGAUUAGAUACCCUUGUAGUC
rnacentral:rRNA from 1 species